rnacentral:rRNA from 1 species
UACGAAUGGAGCGAGCGUUGUUCGGAAUCACUGGGCGUAAAGCGUGCGCAGGCUGUUGUGAAAGUUAGGAGUGAAAGCCCCGGGCUUAACCCGGGAAUUGCUUUUAAAACUACACAACUAGAGUACUGGAGAGGUUGGCGGAAUUCCGAGUGUAGCAGUGAAAUGCGUAGAUAUUCGGAGGAACACCGAUGGCGUAGGCAGCCAACUGGACAGUAACUGACGCUCAUGCACGAAAGCGUGGGGAUCAAACAGG